GCCUCGUUAGCUCAGUGGUAGAGCAUGUGGCUUUUAACCACAGGGUCGUGGGUUCGACACCCACACGAGGCG